GAUGAACGCUGGCGGCGUGCCUAAUACAUGCAAGUCGAGCGAAUGGAUUGAGAGCUUGCUCUUAUGAAGUUAGCGGCGGACGGGUGAGUAACACGUGGGUAACCUGCCCAUAAGACUGGGAUAACUCCGGGAAACCGGGGCUAAUACCGGAUAACAUUUUGAACCGCAUGGUUCGAAAUUGAAAGGCGGCUUCGGCUGUCACUUAUGGAUGGACCCGCGUCGCCUUCUCUAGUUGGUGAGGUAACGGCUCACCAAGGCAACGAUGCGCAGCCGACCUGAGAGGGGGCUCGGCCACACUGGGACGUAGACGCGGCCCGGACUCCUACGGGAGGCAGCAGUAGGGAAUCUUCCGCAAUGGACGAAAGUCUGACGGAGCAACGCCGCGUGAGUGAUGAAGGCUUUCGGGUCGUAAAACUCUGUUGUUAGGGAAGAACAAGUGCUAGUUGAAUAAGCUGGCACCUUGACGGUACCUAACCAGAAAGCCACGGCUAACUACGUGCCAGCCGCCGCAGUAA
rnacentral:rRNA from 1 species